GAAACCCCAUUGAUUCGUGUUGAACUAAAUAAAAAUGGAUCAAAGGGUUAGCUUGGAGCUACUCAUAGCCUCAAGCAUCGUGUGACGCUCCGGGACCCAUUUUUGAGGUGUUACAAUAUUGGUCCAAAAGACUCGAUGAAAAGCAUUGCUACUAUCUGUCUCGAUGAAAUCUAAAGUAAUCGAGAUACCAGAGUCGUGCUGCGACCUUAAAUCAAGCACUACAUGGGAGGCAGCCUAUGAUCCUCAUGCUUGAUAUACUCCAGAAGCCAAGAUGCAAAAGAACCAACAAGGAUGGAAGAAAAAGAGUUGAAAUCUAAAGAAGAUAGAAGAGAAGUGUGGCUGACAACAUUCCUGAUAAGUCAUCAGCACUCUAAUAAGUUAUCAGCUUUAUCGUCAUCCUUAGACAGAGAUUUGUUUUCGGCUGGAGUUUAUGACGACAUUCCUGAUAAGUCAUCAGCCCUGUGAUAAGUUAUCAGAGACACCGUCAAUCUUAGACAGAGAAUGGACCUUAGCUGAAAGUUGUGAUGACAUUUCCUGAUAAGUCGUCAAAGAGUUUAUAAGUCGUCAGACUCCUGAUAAGGUGUCACUUAAUUUGAAAAAUUGCUGUACUCUGUCAUUUUGUUUCCACAAUUAGGGUAAACUAUUUAAAGCAUAGUUUAGGGUUUUCUAAAGGGCGGAACUUGUUUUGGGGAAACACGUAUUUUGUUAUUUUUCUCUCUAGUUUCUUGGCUUGAAAAAUAAUUAACUUUGAAUAGAUUUUCAUCACUAUUUUGGGAUUUCUAUUGUGAUCUAAUCCGAGAAUCACUAGAUACUAUUCAUCA